rnacentral:rRNA from 1 species
CGAACGACUCCCGGCAACGGAUAUCUCGGCUCUUGCAUCGAUGAAGAACGUAGCGAAAUGCGAUACUUGGUGUGAAUUGCAGAAUCCCGUGAACCAUCGAGUCUUUGAACGCAAGUUGCGCCCGAGGCCACUAGGCCGAGGGCACGUCUGCCUGGGCGUCACAC